UGAGGAAUAUUGGUCAAUGGGCGCAAGCCUGAACCAGCCAUCCCGCGUGAAGGAAGAAGGCGCUAUGCGUUGUAAACUUCUUUUCCAGGGGAAUAAAAUUCUGUACGUGUACGGAAUUGAAGGUACCCUGGGAAUAAGCAUCGGCUAACUCCGUGCCAGCAGCCGCGGUAAUACGGAGGAUGCAAGCGUUAUCCGGAUUUAUUGGGUUUAAAGGGUGCGCAGGCGGAGUAGUAAGUCAGGGUGAAAACCUGCAGCUUAACUGUAGAAUUGCCGUUGAUACUGCUGCUCUUGAGUAUGGUCAAGGUAGGCGGGAUGUGUAAUGUAGCGGUGAAAUGCUUAGAUAUUACACAGAACACCGAUUGCGAAGGCAGCUUGCUGGGCCAUUACUGACGCUCAUGCACGAAAGCGUGGGGAUCGAACAG
rnacentral:rRNA from 1 species